UAUCUCUGUAGAGUCUGCAUAUCAAUAAGCGGAGGAAAAGAAACUAACAAGGAUUCCCUUAGUAACGGCGAGUGAAGCGGGAAGAGCUCAAAUUUGAAAUCUUCAAGGUUCUACCUUGACGAAUUGUAGUUUAUAGAAGUGUUUUCUGUUAGUAGAGUGGCAAAAGUUCUUUGGAAUAGGACAUCAUAGAGGGUGAGAAUCCCGUAUUUGGUCAUUCUUUCUAGCUUUGUGAUACACUUUCAACGAGUCGGAUUGUUUGGGAAUGCAGUCCAAAAUGGGUGGUAAAUUUCAUCUAAAGCUAAAUAUUGGCGAGAGACCGAUAGCGAACAAGUACCGUGAGGGAAAGAUGAAAAGAACUUUGAAAAGAGAGUUAAACAGUACGUGAAAUUGUCAAAAGGGAAGCGUUUGACACCAGUGUUGUUUUUCCGAAAAUCAAUUACGAAUGUUUUGUUUUUGAGAAGUUAUGGACUUCAUCGGCUUGCUUCUUUCUUUACGAAACUUUCUUAAUGCACUUUUCGGUUAACAAGUCAACAUCAAUUUCUUUUGUUGUAAAAGGGUACGAGGAAGGUGGCUUUCUUUUCGGAGAAAGUGUUUAUAGCCUUGUGCCCUCUGCAAUCGGAGAGAUUGAGGUCUGCAGCGUAGAUCCUUCGGGGUUAGAUACAUUUGUGCUAAGUUAUAGCUUUUCAUAGACAACUUGUUGACUAUGUUUAGUCUUGUAGCUUACUCGCUUAUGCUAUUUUACCUACGCUUAGGAUGUUGAUGUGAUACUGCGAGC
rnacentral:rRNA from 1 species